rnacentral:lncRNA from 1 species
UCUGACAGCACGCUGGGGCUGCGUUUCCUAAGAGAAGCUGAGCUCUCUCAGUUGUGUGUCCGUCUUAUUGCCGCUCUCGUUGUCUGUGUCGACAGUGAUAAAGAGAGCAGUUCAACCACGGGCCUGUUUUUGGAAUAAGAAAAGCAUUGCUGUUUUCUGACUUUGAGAGAAGAAAGAAGGGACUCCUCUGGAAUUUCCUCAGGAAUUUAUCCGGACAGCUCCGUUACCGGGGCUUUGCAUUCUACCUCCUGGGUAUAGAAUGUGACCAACUAUCCCACACUAGGGAGGUUCUGAGGAGUUCUCUUCUUUCAUCACUCUGGUCCACGGCAGCAAUCGCACAUCUUUAUUCCAAACAGGUGGGGGCAGAGGGGGCGUUCUUUUGGGCGGUGAGUCGGCGAGGAACAAGCACCGGGCAGCAUGUUGGCACCUGCAUGAACCCGACAGAGGAGCCUCACUUCUUGGUGAGUACUCUUUCCUAUCCAACACACUACUCACUCCACAGGCAUGCAGUUUUCCCAUAUUAAACUUAACAUUCGUGGUUGCUAAUUUAGUUAUGAC